GGUAUCUUUCUUUCUUUCUCCAUGGCCUGGCUCUCCUUAGCAUACUUUGAUCGCCAUUGAUUUUGAUUGAUUGAGCUUUCUGUGAUUUCGGCCUUGUUGUUGGAGGAGAAGAACCUUAAGUUCAUCUACGUUGAGAUGGCAUUCUUCCAGAGACGGUGGAGGCAGCAAAGCAAGUUGGUCAACUCUGGUCAACUGGAAUUCAUGUAAUACUUGGCUUGUUUUUACUACUUUUUCUAGUAAUUGAUAACUGGGUAUGCUUAAAAGUUUGUUCUUUCUCAUUCUAUUUCGAUUUUUGUUGUUAUUGAUCUAGAAAUGGGGGUAUGUUCAUAUACUCUUUGUGAAUCCCCAUUUUCACACUUGAUUGAAAUCAAACCAUAUUGGAAUAUUAUAAUUAUUCAGUUUACAAAAGGUUGAGAUCUUUUGAAUUGAUCA